GGUCCGAGUUUGCGUGUGACGUCACGGCACGCGUGGGCCGCCGCAGCUCGCGGAUCGGCUACAAGUUCUCGGUGUGCUCGGGCCGCUGCCCACUCCCACUGUGUCCCCUCAUCUAUAGCAGUGCGCGCUGACCAUCCUUUAUGCUGGAUAUUCUACUCCAUUCUUCUUUCUUGGGUGAUAUGGGGGAUCAUUCAAAAAAGAAGUCCGGGAUCGCCAUGUGUGUGGGCUGCGGAAGUCAGAUCCAUGACCAGUAUAUCCUGCGGGUCUCCCCGGACCUGGAGUGGCACGCGGCGUGUCUGAAGUGCGCAGAGUGCAGUCAGUACCUGGAUGAGACGUGUACUUGCUUCGUCCGGGACGGCAAGACCUACUGCAAAAGAGACUACGUAAGGUUAUUCGGUAUUAAAUGUGCAAAAUGCAACGUGGGCUUCUGCAGCAGUGACUUGGUAAUGCGUGCUCGGGAGAACGUUUACCACAUGGAGUGUUUCAGGUGCUCGGUGUGCAGCAGACACCUCCUGCCGGGAGAUGAGUUCUCUCUGCGGGAAGAGGAGCUGCUGUGCCGGACUGAUCACGGGCUGCUGCUGGAGCGCGCCGCGUCGGGGAGUCCACCUAUCAGCCCGGGCAACACACACUCCACCAGAGCUCUGCACAUGGCCGAGCCGGUACCUGUGCGGCAGCCCCCACACCGCAACCACGUCCACAAGCAGUCGGAGAAGACGACCCGUGUGCGCACUGUGCUCAACGAGAAGCAGCUGCACACACUGCGCACAUGCUACAACGCCAACCCGCGGCCCGACGCGCUCAUGAAGGAGCAGCUGGUGGAGAUGACGGGCCUCAGUCCGCGAGUUAUCCGCGUCUGGUUCCAGAACAAACGCUGCAAGGACAAGAAGAGGUCCAUGCUCAUGAAGCAACUCCAGCAGCAACAGCACAGCGACAAAACCAAUCUCCAGGGUCUAACAGGGACACCUCUAGUGGCAGGUAGUCCCAUCCGGCAUGACAACACGGUGCAGGGGAAUCCUGUAGAAGUGCAGACUUACCAGCCUCCAUGGAAAGCGCUGAGCGAGUUCGCGCUACAGAGCGACCUGGAGCAGCCCGCCUUCCAGCAGCUGGUGUCCUUCUCUGAGUCGGGUUCUCUGGGCACCUCCUCGGGCAGUGAUGUGACUUCGCUGUCAUCGCAGUUACCCGACACCCCCAACAGCAUGGUGUCCAGUCCUGUGGAAACGUGAUGGAGUCCAGUGACCUCUGUCCACCCCAGCAUGCUGAACCCCACCCCGAUCUGCAUGAACACAGAGCACCUCACCAUCUCCACCUGAGGAACACGACGGAACCACGGAAAACAACAUACAGCAACACAGUGGAUUAAAACUCGGAACGCACAAGUGUGUCAAAAAAACAAAAACAAAACAAAACAAAAAAAAACAAAAAACAAAAAAAAACCAACCACACGGAGCCAAGAAGCAGGGACUCUCCACACGCGUUUACUUCAGCCCUAAAGGCAGGAACCCACACGGAUCCGAUAUCUUCCCGAGGAAUAUGAACAAGUUGACCCACUGUCAACAACAUAACAAAUAACAAUAAUGUCUUUACCAGUAUUCCUUACGUAGUUUUAUCAACACCUGAUGACAUUUCCCUAAUUCAAUGAGACAACAGAGCCACGUUUGUCUUAAUGCGCAUGAUCUCCGAAGACAAUGUAUAAAAGUCACAUGUAAACUAUUUUAUCUUUACGGAUGGAGGACAAAUUGUUUGAACUUCUCGAGAGAACAAAAAUAAAACUGUGGACUUCUAUCCAAUCAACCAGAAAGUGUAGAAAUACUGGGAUCGUCCCAUCUGCCAGAGAAAUACAAGCACUACUGGGAGAGUACCUGGAAGGCAGUGAGGUCGAGCAGGGCAAAGCUGUUGAGGAAGCGCAGACCCUGAAGUGCCACCUGGACCACAGCAGGACUGUAGGGCUCCUGGAAUGACGCCAUGUUGCCAGACUGGGGC